rnacentral:rRNA from 1 species
AUUGAACGCUGGCGGAAGGCCUAACACAUGCAAGUCGAGCGAGCGGCGGACGGGUGAGUAAUGUCUGGGAAACUGCCUGAUGGAGGGGGAUAACUACUGGAAACGGUAGCUAAUACCGCAUACCAUCGGAUGUGCCCCGAUGGGCUUAGCUAGUGGGUGGGGUAACGGCUCACCUAGGCGACGAUCCCUAGCUGGUCUGAGAGGAUGACCAGCCACACUGGAACUGAGACACGGUCCAGACUCCUACGGGAGGCAGCAGUGGUGAAUAUUGCACAAUGGGCGCAAGCCUGAUGCAGCCAUGCCGCGUGUAUGAAGAAGGCCGUCGGGUUGUAAAGUACGUGCAGCGAGGAGGCGUUACGCGCAGAAGAAGCACCGGCUAACUACGUGCCAGCAGCCGAGGUAAUUC